rnacentral:rRNA from 1 species
CCUACGGGUGGCAGCAGUGGGGGAUAUUGCACAAUGGGGGAAACCCUGAUGCAGCGACGCCGCGUGGGCGAAGAAGUAUUUCGGUAUGUAAAGCCCUAUCAGCAGGGAAGAAGAAAUGACGGUACCUGAGUAAGAAGCACCGGCUAAAUACGUGCCAGCAGCCGCGGUAAUACGGAGGGUGCAAGCGUUGUCCGGAAUCAUUGGGCGUAAAGAGUUCGUAGGUGGCAUAUUAAGUCUGGUGUUAAAUGCAGAAGCUCAACUUCUGUUCGGCACUGGAUACUGGUAAGCUUGAAUGCGGUAGAGGUAAAGGGAAUUCCUGGUGUAGCGGUGAAAUGCGUAGAUAUCAGGAGGAACAUCGGUGGCGUAAGCGCUUUACUGGGCCGUAAUUGGCACUGAGGAACGAAAGCCGGGGUAGCAAAUGGGAUUAGAUACCCGUGUAGUC